CUGUUGCGGUGUGUACGUGAAUCGCUGGAGGCGGAGGAGGGUGGUAGACGUAAUGGCUGGUUUUUGGGGGCGCCAAAACUGCGCUCGCUGCUAUGUGACGUCCCAACGAGGAUAUGGCCUCUCCUUUAGCGCUGAUUAUGCUUCCUUUCGUUGAAAUCACCACGCCGCCACCUUGUAUCAGUUUCCCUUUGAGGGCGAUAACUCCUCCGCCGAUGGCCUUCAGCGCUUGGAACAAGUGCUGAAAGACCAGCGAAAGUGAUCGUGGUUCGGACCGAUCUCACAUUGGGUACACACAACCCAACCUUGAUCUUGUAACGGAAUGAACCAUGUAGCAGACUUCCUCCAUUUUAACUUGACCCAGAUUCAUCGGGUUUGGAAAAAAAA
rnacentral:misc_RNA from 1 species